rnacentral:lncRNA from 10 species
CCAAAUAAGCCUCCUUUCACAAAAGGAAAAAACUAAAGCCCAGAAAGGUUGAGCCCCUGACUAGCAGCAGAGUGAGGACAGAACAAAGGUGACGAGACUCCCAAGUAAGAGCUCCCUCCACUCCAUCCUCUUUAAGCAGGCACCCGGAGGGGCAGGGAAUCUCUCCGAGAAAAGUGAAUGAGUUGUGGUGCGCAAUGUGACUUCAGGAGUCUGGAAGCUCUUUCAGCUUUCUUCCUGAUUCCUUGCCAUGUUCUACAUGACUGAAAUGGAACUCUAGACAAGAGGGUAAAUCUGGGCAUGGAGAAGUAUUUAAAUCCCUAAAUUAAAGCUAUAUUUUAUUGUAUUUUAAUUGAUGUCACCAUUCAUGGAGAAUGAACCCUGGGCAGGCAGCAGCAACUCAGUCACCUGCCUUGUUUUAUACUUUAUGUUCUAACAUUUAAGUGAGACUAAGUCUUCUUUUCCAGCAGAAUGAGAAGCUCCUCCAGGUCAAGGCCUGUGUCACACCCCUCUCCAAUAUCUCUUAUGGCACCCUGAAGAGUACUUGGCACACAUCUUGAAUGGGCUUCCGAAUUCACGUAUGUGAUUUCCCCUCUGGACCGCAAUGCUCUACACAGCCGACCCAGUCAAUGCAGACUGGCAUUACCCACAUUUUCCUAUUGCUCAACUACAGAAUGAGGAGGAUUAUCACGUGUCACCGGCAACUCUCAGCUUCACUGAAACAACUGAAAUGGUAAUGGACCUCACUCAUCAUCCAAAGAGUUCCUUUGGAAAUGUAGGCCAGAUUUACUAGCAAAACUGUGGUUUUCUACUGCCCUUAAGCUGUCCCUCCCACCCACUCCAAAUAACCAAUGAAGAUUUGCUUUUGAAAAUGGGCAAACUCACUGAAAAACUCAUCUACCUAUAGCAAAUGUAAUUAAUUUUUUAAUAUUUCAGUCUCUAACAUUCUUAUACUGGUGAAAGUUAAAAAAGAAAAAUGAAAUGAGAUGUUACAGCAGGCCCAAAGGUUAAGCAGAAAGAAAAGGUCAUAUGGAAAGGAGAUAAAUCCAGGAGAGCUAGGGACCCAAGAGUACAGAUUCAAUCCUGCCACUUCAAUGGGAGAAAAAAAUACGGAUGUCCAGGAAAGGGCAGACAACCUGGUCAUGGUUAGGAGACAGAAUUCACAAGUCAGCACAAAGCCAUCAAUCCUAAUCCAGAAUCAUUUCUAAUAUUUAAGACAACGUACAUGUCAUUCUACACUGCAGUGGCAUCUUAGAUCUUUCAAAAUAUGUAUUACAGCACUUUUAAUUGUAGCCACAAGAACCUUGCCUGUCCUCCCCACUAGACCUGAGGUCCAUCUGGUAAAGGAAUCAAGCCCAUACAUUUCAGCAGCUAACACACAGCAUAGUGCACAGUGGGCACGCAAUAAAUAUUGAAUUCUUUAAGAACUACUUAUGAAGUUUUGAAAAAGAUGACGCCCAAGUAAAAGGAUAAGGCCAGGCCCACUUAACUUCCCCAUGACAGACAUGAGUAUGAAAUGUAAAAGUUCAUUUCUGGGUGGACUUCUGCUUCUGGUCAAGAUGGAGUGACAGGGAUCACAUUUACCUUUCUACCGGAAACAGCUAAUAAAAAACAAAACAAAACAAAACAAAAACACAGAAUGGGCCGGGCGCGGUGGCUCACACCUGUAACCCCAGUACUUUGGGAGGCCGAGACAGGCGGAUCACGAGGUCAGGAGUUCGACUGAAACCCCGUCUCUACUAAAGAUACAAAAAAUUAGCCGGGCGUGGUGGCGGGCACCUGUAGUCCCAGCUACUCCGGAGGCUGAGGCAGGAGAAUGGCGUGAACCUGGGAGGCGGAGCUUGCAGUGAGCCGAGAGCGCGCCACUGCACUCCAGCCUGGGCGACAGAGCGAGGCUCCGUCUCAAAAAAAAAAAAAAAAGAUACAAAAAAUUAGCCAGGCGCGGUAGCUACUCGGGAGGCUGAGGCAGAGAAUUGCUUGAACCCGAGAGGCGGAGGCUGCAGUGAGGCAAGAUUGCGCCACUGCACUCUAGCCUGUGCGACAGGGCAAGACUCCAUCUCAAAAAAGAAAAGAAAAGAAAAAAAAACCCAAAACGACAGAAUAUAUGAAAUGACUGUUUCCAAGAUAUUGGACACCAGGCACAAAGGACGACGAUUCCUGAAAGACAAGGAACUGAACAAGGAGGACCCUACAGCUAACUGGCUUACUGCCUGGAGAGAAUUUCAGGCACAGUGCAGGGGAGGGGCACCCAGGCAGAGUCCAGAGUUCUUCCUAAACUGAAGAGAGGAAGCUGAUAUAUCGUCUGGGGAGGCCAAAGAGGUUCACAGGGCAGAAGAUUAGAGAAGAAAGACUUACACAGAAAAAAAAUUCUGGAGAUCUGAGCAGGGGGCCUCCCCAGCCACCCCACCAAGUCUUCAGCUGAACACCCAUCAGCACACGCAUGUGAGGAAACUACCUGAGGCCAGGGAAAUAAUUACCUGAAAGGACGGCAGAGAACAAUAUUCAGACCUCACACAGGAACAGGAAUAAUUCCUGUUACCAGCAACCAUAAUAGGAAACCUCGUUAUUUCAAGGAAAUUGGGUAGAGUACUCAGAAACAUUUACCUCUGUGGUAAAGAAAAAUAACCCCAGACUUAACGCUGUGCCGGUCCCGCCUAAAAAUGCUUAAAAGCAAGACCCAAAAGGAUCAAACUGUUUCCAAGUAACCAGUGUUCCAGAACAAAGUUCAAGAAUAUUUAAAAGAAUACAAAAAUAUCUAGCACCCAACAAGCUAAGACUCACAAUAUCCAACUGAAAAAUCAUCAGGUGGGUAGGUGCAGUAGCUUAUGUCUAUAAUCCCAGCCCUUUGGGAGGCCGAGGUGGGAGGAUCACUUGAGGCCAGGAGUUCAAAGCCAGCCUGGGCAAUGUAGCAAGACCCCCAUUUCCACAAAAACAAUUUAAAAAAAUCAGCUAGGCAUGGUGGCACAUGCUUGUAGCCCUCGCUACUUGGGAGGCUGAGGCAGGAGGAUCUCUUGAGCCCAGGAGUUUGAGGCUACAGUGAGCUAUGAUCAUACCACUGCACUCCAGCCUGAGCAACAGAGCAAGACCCUGUCUCUUAAAAUAAAUUUUUAAAAAUAACCAGGCACGCAAAGAAGAAAUCAGGACCCAUAAUGAAGAGAAAAAUCAAACUAACUCAGAAAUAACAAGAUAAUUAGUAGAUAAGGACAUUGCAACAGUUGUAACUGUACUCCACAAGAAAUUAGAGAAUGGAUUGAGAAUGUUAAAGAAAAAAAAUUUUUUUAAAGACUUAAAAUUUUUUAAAGACCCAGUGGCUCAUGCCUAUAAUCCCAGCAUUUUGGGAGGCCAAGGUGGGCGGAUCACUUGAGGUCAAGAGUUCGAGACCAGCCUGGCCAACAUGGUAAAAUCCCGUCUCCACUAAAAAUACGAAAAUUACUAAAAUACUAAAAAUUAGCCAAGUGUGGUGGUGGGCACCUGUAAUCCCAGCUACUCAAGAGGCUGAGGGAGGAGAAUCACUUGAAUCCAGGAGGCAGAGGUUGCAGUGAGCAGAGAUUGGACCAUUGCACUACAGCUUGGGUGACAAGAAAACACCGUCUCAAAAAAAAAAAGAAAGAAAGAAAAGAAAAAGACUUAAAUUAGACUUGUAGAAAUGAGUAUUACAAUGACUGAAAUGAAAAGUACACUGGAUAGGGUGCUGUGGCUCAUGCCUGUAAUCCCAGCACUUUGGGAGACUGAGGCGGGCAGAUCACCUGAGUUCAGAAGUUUGAGACCAGCCUCACCAACAUGGUGAAAACUUGUCUCUACUAAAAAUACAAAAACUAGCCAGGCGUGGUGACAUACACCUGUAGUCCCAGCUACUCAGAAGGCUGAGGCAGGAGAAUCGCUUGAACCUGGGAGGUGGAGGCUGUAUUGAGCCAAGAUUGCACGACUGAACUCCACCUGAGUGACAGAGUGAGACUCCGUCUCAAAAACAAACAAACAAAAAAACAAACACUGGAUAGGCUGAACAGGAGAUUAGACACUGUAGAAGAGGUGAGUGUGAACCUGAAGCCAUACCAACAGAAACUAUCCAAAGUGAAACACAGAGAUAAAAAAAGACAAAAAAUGAACAGAGCUAUCAAUUCAGAAGAUGUUCUACAAUUUCUACAAAUGUUCUUAAAGUUGUUCUACAGCUCAGCGAUGGCUCUGUUCAUUCUUUUUGAAGUAGAACAACUUCAAGCAGCUGAUUAUAUAUGCAAUCAGGGCAUCUAGAGGAGGCUGGGCUGGAGACAGAAAAAAAAGUUAAGAUAUAAUAGCCACGGUGGCUCACGCCUGUAAUCCCAGCACUUUGGGAGGCCAAGGCGGGCAGAUCACGAGGUCAGGAGAUCAAGACCAUCCCCGUCUCUACUAAAAAUACAAAAAAUUCGCCGGGCGAGGUGGCGGGCGCCUGUAGUACCAGCUACGCGGGAGGCUGAGGCAGGAGAAUGGCGUGAACCCCAGGGGGCGGUGCCUGCAGUGAGCCGAGAUCGCGCCACUGCACUCCAGCCUGGGCGACAGUGAGACUCCGUUUCAAAAAAAAAAAAAAAAGAUAUAAUAGCCAAAAUUUCCCCAAAUGUGAUGAAAAGGAUAAACCCAGAGAUCCAAGAAGCUCAGAAACCCUAAGCUCAAGAAACACGAUGAAAAAUACACCAAAGCACAUCAUAUCAUAGUCAAAUAAUCUAAAAUCAGCAAUAGAGAAAAAUCUUAAAAGCAUCCACAAAAAAGAUGACAUUACAUACAGAGAAACAAAGAAUGAUAGCCGACUCUUCCUACAAUGCAAGCCAGACAGUGGAGUAACAUAUUUAAAGUACUGGCAAAAAAACAGUCAAGCUGUAAUUCUAUAGCAAGUGAAACUAUUUUUCAAAAAUGCAGGUUUCACAAUGAGAUACCAUCUCAUACUAGAAAGAAUGACUAUUACUAAAACAUCACACACACACACACAAAAACAGAUACUGGUGAGGCUGUGGAGAAAAGGGAGUGUUUAUACACUGUUGGAGGGAAUGUUCAGCCCCUGUGAAAAGCGAUUUGGAGAUUUCUCAAAGAACUUAAAGGGCCGGGCGUGGUGGCUCACGCUUGUAAUCCCAGCACUUUGGGAGGCCGAGGCGGGCGGAUCACGAGGUCAGGAGAUCGAGACUACGGUGAAACCCCGUCUCUACUAAAAAUACAAAAAAUUAGCCGGGCGUGGCGGCGGGCGCCUGUAGUCCCAGCUACUCGGAGAGGCUGAGGCAGGAGAAUGGCGUGAACCCGGGAGGCGGAGCUUGCAGUGAGCCGUGAUCGCGCCACCGCAUUCCAGCCUGGGCAACAGAGGGAGACUCCAUCUCAAAAAAAAAAAAAAAAAAAGGAACUUAAAAGAGAACUAUGAUCUGACCCAGCAAUCCUGUUACUGGGUAUAUAUCCAAAAGAAAACAAAUCAUUCUACCAAAAAGACACAUGCACUAUGUUAAUUAUAGCUCUAUUUACAAUAGCAAAGACAUGGAAUCAACCUAGGUGCCCAUCAGCAGUGGAUUGGAUAAAGAAAAUAUGGUCUAUAUACACCAUGUAAUACUAUGGAGCCAUAAAAUGAAUGAUAUCAUGUCCCUUGCAGCAACAUGGAUGCACAUGGAGGCCAUUACCCUCAGUAAAUUAACACAGAAACAGAAAACCAAAUACCACAUGCUCUCACUUAUAUUGGGAGGUAAACACUGGGUACUCAUGGACAUAAAGAUGGCAACAACAGAAACGGGAUUAUUAGAGGAGGGACGCAGGUGAGUACUGGUAAACUAACUUUUGGGUACUAUGUUCACUACCUGAGUGAUGGGAUCAUUUGUAUCCCAGCAUCGCACAAUAUACCCAGGUAACAAACCUGCACAUGUACCCCUAAAUCUAAAAGUUGAAAAAUGCAACUUUCAAAAAGGAAAAGUUCUGUGUUUCUGCACUUGUCCAUUGCUCCUCAGCAUUCUAUUGUGGGUGUUUCUUUUUGACAGCCACAGGGGACAGACUAUACCAGUGAAAAAGAUCUGAAAGACAGCCUAAGUCCCAUCUUUCACUGUAAAACCAACCAUUCUGGUUUGUAAUUAUCACAGCUCAAAGUGAUCUCCUCUUCCUAAGCAUUAUCCUCACAGCAUUCACAGACACUCCUGGUACUAUAACUAUUUAUAUUUAUAUAUAAAUGUAAACUAUAUGUACAUGUAAACUAUACAUGUAGAACUAUUUACAUAUUUGUCUUCCUCUCAAAUUAUGCUAUAAAUUCUUAAUGGCAGACGCUAUAAUUUGGUAUUACCCAUCAGGCCUAGCACAAGGUCUUAUAUUUAUUAGAUGCUCCACAAACAUCUCUGUAAAAGUCUAUCACAAACUCCUGCUACUAACAUUAUUUCUUUUUCUUAGUAUUUUUUUUAACUCAUGAUAGCUGUUUGUCCUGAACUAACAUUAUUGAUCUGUAUGUAAUCUUCCUUCUAACACGGUUACUGCUGUCUCAGUAAAUAAUGGCUGAAUAGCGUUUAUUCCUAUGCUCUUCCAGCCAGCCAAGACACUGUUAUACACUGGUAUGUGUUCUUAGAUGUUCACACAUGAUGGUGACCUUACUCCUCUCUUUCCCAUUGUAGUUACCAUUAACUUCACGUAGCUAAACAUUGGUAAAGAUGCCCUGAACACGUCGAAGUGUUUAGAGGCACUGAGCAGGGGUAGUCUAUAUAGAAGAGAAAUUCAAAUUUCAAGUGAAGAAAUAAAGGUCUGACUACUGAGAUUUAAGCAGAGUUUACAGAGUUGGGAGGCAGAUAUAAGCAAGAGCAAGGCAAUGAGAGAAGGCAGCGGUGCAGGUAGAACACACAGGAAGAUAAUAUGCAAGUAUCUUGAAAAUUUUCAAAGAACACCACAAAUAAAAUCUAUUAAUAUCACCAUCUAGUAAAAUGCUGAGUAUACAGUAAAUGCUAUUAAGACUUGUUAAAAUAAAAAAAGAAUUUCAGGCUGAGUAUGGUGGUUCAUGCCUGUAAUCCCAGCACAUUGGGAGGCUGAGGUGGGAGGUCACUUGAGUCCACGAGUUCAAGACCAGCCUGGGCAAUAUAGUGAGACCCCGCCCCCAUCGCUACAAAAAGUUUAAAAAUCAGCCAGGCAUGGUGGUACACACCUGUAGUUCUAGCUACUCAGGAAGCUGAGGUAGGAGGAUCACUUGAGCCCAGGAAUUCGAAGCUGCAGUAAGCUAUGAUCAUGCCACUGCACUCUAGUCUGGAAAACAGAGAGAGACCCGGUCUAUAUUUAAAAGAAUAAUAAUAAGAAGAAUCUCAAGGUCAGAAUAAAGAAAGUUAAGGUUGAAAUAGAAGGAAAAUAAAAAUAGUGAAAAGGAAAUAUAUUUAAGAAGACACUUUAGAAAUAGUACUCCUGCUUGAAAGACCCAAAGAAAGCUGAGAGAGGCCACUGGAUCACUUAGACAGGAAAGGUGUCUGAUGAUACAUAGGCCUGAAAAUAAUGAGCCAAUAAGUUAUGGCUCAAUUGCUGUAAUCAAGGCAAAGUAAGAAGAAUAAAUGAAAUAUGAGCAGAGGAUAAAGCUUUGUUGCCAGAAAUAACUGAAAGGCGGAAUAAUCCCUAUAGGAAGGGAAAACCCAAAACCUCUGACACAGUAUUACCGAAGAAUGUUCUAUAAUAUCAAAAUAAUGAAUCAUAUAAAAACAUCUAGUACUAUGUUAGAGAGUCCAGCCAACAGAAGGUAGAGUGAAUGAUAUAUAUAUAUAUAUAUAUAUAUAUAUAUAUAUAUAUAUAUAUAUAUAUAUAUAUAUAUAUAAAGAUGUUAUGUGUUAGUUGUAUAAAUGAUAAUUCAAAUGGAGAGUGUGGGGAGAAGUGAAGCAUGUUUUGUUUCUGGUAAACAAUAACUGGAGGCCAGGCAUGAUGGCUCACACCACACCUGUAAUCCCAGCAUCUUGGGAGGCUGAGGCGGGUGGAUCACCUGAGGUCAGGAGUUCAAGACCCGCCUGACCAAUAUGGUGAAACUCCGUCUCUACUAAAAAUACAAAAAUUAGCUGGGUGUGGUGGCACACACCUGUAGGCCCAGCUACUGAGGAGGCUGAGGCAGAAGAAUUGCUUGAACCCAGGAAGCAGAGGUUGCAGUGAGCCGAGACUGCGCCACUGCACUCCAGCCUGGGUGACAAAGUGAAACGCCGUCUCAAAAAGAAAAAAAAAAAAUAGCUGUGUUGCUCUAAUGUAGCAUGCCUAAGAGGCAGAUUGUUGGGGUGUCCAAUCUUUUGGCUUCCCUGGGGCACACUGGCAGAAAAAUUGUCUUGGGCCACACAUAAAAUACAUUAACACUAACAAUAGCUAAUUAGCUAAAAAAAAAAAAAUCAUACAAAAAAAUCUCAUAAUGUUUUAAGAAAGUUUACGAAUUUGUAUUGGGUUGCAUUCAAAGCCACCCUGGGCCACAUGUGGCCCACGGGCUGUGGGUUGGACAAGCUUCAUUUGGCACAAAGAGAACACGAUCUGGUCACUUCAUAUUGCUAAGGAGUCAGCUAAACGUAUGAUCUAGAAACAGGUCAAAAUUAAGGAAAACUAUGUAAAUAUGCUGUUUCUGUGCUUAACAGUCCAAAAGCCAGUACCCUGAGGAGCCCAGAGCAAAUACAGUCAUUCAGAUGACCUAAUCCUACCCUAGGAUAGGAAGCACAGAAGCCAAGAAGUUUAAGAGUAGCUGGGUGAAAUGUCAGCUUGAUUCUACCAGGAGCAGAUGAGCAUGAAAUUAUUGCCACUUUUGGAAAAAUUUAUUAAUCCCAUGACAGAGUUACUGGCGCAGGAAUAGACUAAUCAAUAGAGCAAAACAGAUCCAGGAAUGGAUGAGGUUUCUUUUAGCACAUGAUAAAGCUAGCAUUUCAAGUUAGUGGUAUAAGAACACUGGAAAAACUGGCUAUUUGGAAAAAAAAUAAAAUAAAAAGCUGAAUUCCUAACUCCCUUCUUAAAAUGCCUAAAUAAAUUCCAUAUAGGGCGAAGAUUUAAAUGUAAAAAAAUUAAAUUAUAAAAAUACUAGAAAUGGCCAGGCACAGUGGCUCACCCCUGUAAUCCUAGCAUUUUGGGAGGCCCAGGUGGGUGGACUGCUUGAGCCCAGGAGUUUGAGACCAGCCUGGGCAACAUAGUGAGACCCUGUCUCUACCAAAAAAGAAAACAAACAAAAAAACAAUAGCCAGGUGUGGUGGCAUAGCAUGAGUUUGUGGUCCCAGCGACUCAGGAGGUUGAGGUGGGAGGAUUGCUUGAGCCUGGGAGUUCGAGGCUGUAGUGAUCUGUGAUGGCACCACUGUACUCCAGCCUGGGUGACAGAGUGGGACCCUGUGUCAAAAAAUGAUACUAGAAGUAUAAGCGAAUAUUUUUAUAACCUUGGAAUGGGAAGACCUUUACAAAAAUGGUACAAAAAUCAGAACUCAUACUUAAGGAUUUACUCUGACUAUGUAAAAAGUUUAAAUUGCAAAACACCAAAGAGAAAGCUGAAAAAAACUGGAAAAAAAUAUUUGUAACAUGACAAAGUAUUAAUAUAGAAAGGGUUUCAAUUAAUAUAAAAUUAUUUGUAACAUGACAAAAUAUUAAUAUAGAAAGGGUUUUCAAAUCAGUAGGAAACAGGCCAAAACCUCAAACAGGUUUUCGGAAAAUAGGGAAAGAACAUGAGCACCCAAUUCAUAGAAGGACAAAGAAAUGGCCAAUAAACAUUUGAAAAGCUAUUUAAUCUCUAAAACAAAAAGAACAGGCCGGUGCAGUGGCUCACACCUGUAAUCCCAGGCUUUGGGAGGCCAAGGCGGGAGGAUCACUUGAGCCUGGGAGUUUGAGACCAGCCUGGGCAACAUGGCAAAACCCUGUCGCCACAAAAAAAAAAAAAAAAAAAAAAAAAAAAAUUAGCCGGGUAUGGUGGUGUGCACCUGUAGUCCCAGCUACUCAGGAGGCUGAGAUGGGAGGGUGGUUUGAGCCCAGGAAGUAGAGGUUGUAGUGAGCCAAGAAAGAAAAAGAAAAAUAUGACAUUUUUGCCUUUCAGACUGGCAAAGAUUAAAAGACUUGACAAAAUGUAUCCAGUGAGGGCAUAGGGACCAGAGCACCUUCUUCUACGGUGGGUGGGAGUACAUAAAUUGCUGCAACUUUUCUGGAGAGCUAUUUGGUGAUGCAAAUAAAAACUGAGAACGUCCGUAUCAUGUGCCUGAGCAAAUCCUAUUCUUAGGAAUUUGUCAUAAGGGGAUAAUCACAUACCUUUAUAAAAGAUGUCAUAUGUUGGGGUGAUUACUGCAGCUAACAACUAUUGAACAUUCCCCACAUGUCAUCUUCUGUGUUAGGUAUCUUACACACAUUAUUAUUUAAUCCACAUAACCCCAUGAGAUAUUACUAUACCUGUAUAUUAUAAAUGAAGAACUGGAGAUUUGUUAAGUAAAUUAUGUUAUGCCAUACAACAAUAUAUCAGGUGCUAUUAAAAAUGUUUCAAGAACAAGGAAAAAAAGAAGAAACGUUUAAAAAAAUCUUAAAAAACCCAAAACUAAAAUGUUUCAGGUAUUUACUGACAUUGAAAGAUACUCAGAGCAUAUUAGUAAAAAGCAGGCUACAAAACAGCAUGUGACAUCAUAUGUGCAUAUUUAUGGUUACAAUGUUAUCAGGGGCCGGGCACAGUGGCUCACACCUAUAAUCCUAGUACUUUGGGAGGAUGAGGCAGAACAAUUGCUUAAGCUCAGGAGUUUGAGACCAGCCUGGGAAACAUAGUGAGACUUUGCCUCCAAAAAACCAACAAUAACAACAACAAUAAAAACUAGCCAGGCAUGGUGGCAAGCACCUGUCGUCCCAGAUACACUGUUUGAGCCCAGGAGGUCAAGGCUACAGUCAGCCAUGAUUGUGCCACUGCACUCUAGUCUGGAUGACAGAGCAAGAUUGUCCCUUAAAAAAGAAAAAAAAAAGGUAUCUGGAAGGAUACCCUUUAAAAUAUCAAUAGCAACUGUCUUUAAGUGGUAUUAUAGAAUUGAUAGGGGUGCACUCUUCUUUAUAGUUUUUCUAGAGUGCAUAAAUUACUCUCAUCCCACCUCCAAUUGGCAGAAAUCAUUUUAAAAAUAAAACUAUAUAAGUAAGCUAUUUUUACUUAAAAAAAAAAGGAAGGAAAGAAAAAGUAUAAAGGAAAGGGUGAUAUAAAAAGUACACAUAGAC